rnacentral:rRNA from 1 species
CGAGUGAAGCGGGAAAAGCUCAACUUUGUAAUCUGGCUGUUUCACAGUCCGAGUUGUAGUCUCGAGAAAUGAUAUCCGCGCCGGACCUUAGACAUGUCUGUUGGAAUACAGUGUCAAAGAGGGUGAGAAUCCCGUACAUACUAAGGACGACCGUGUGCAUUGUGAUACGUUUUCAAAGAGUCGAGUUGUUUGGGAAUGCAGCUCAAAUCGGGUGGUAAACUCCAUCUAAAGCUAAAUAUUGGCGAGAGACCGAUAGCGAACAAGUACCGUGAGGGAAAGAUGAAAAGCACUUUGGAAAGAGAAUGAAAUAGUAUGUGAAAUUGCUGGAAGGGAAACGUUUGAGGUUAGACUUGCUUUUGUGGUAUUCAGCCUUCGGGUGUACUUGCCACUUUAUGCAGGCCAGCAUCAGUUUGGCCGUUGUAAAAGGGUAGAGAGAACGUAGCUUGCUUGCAAGUGUUAUAGCUCUUUACUGGAUGCAAAGAUUCAGACUGAGGAACGCAGCGCGCCGCAAGGUAAAGCUUUUAAGCUUAAAGCGCUUAGG